UGAAACCUAAGCUAGUAGGGGCAAAAUGCCAUUGUAUUCCAUUGUUGUAGUCUCGAGACUAAGACAACAAAAAUCUUGGUCCAUUGUGCUGCGUACGGUUUCAAAAAUUAAGGCAUUAAUAAUAAUGAUCUUGCAUUGCGUCUGAUGUUGUGCAGUGUCUUGUGCUUCACAGCCAGGUGGGUGCGCUAUUCUGUCAUUAGAGGCUUCUUUUUUUUACCCCUCACAGUGCAGUUAGUUACACUGUCGAAACAAUGCAUUAUAAGCUGUCUUGGUCAUGUUUUGCUGAAGCACAUGGUCCCGAGUAACAUCAAAUUGGUCCCACCAACCUGGAGAUGGGAUGUAGGGGCUGGCAGGUCCAGGAGAACCUGGGGAGCCAGGAGUGGGGGACCAAGCCGGUGAAUAACCAGGUGAGAAGCCACUUGCAUCUGAGGCUGCACUUGGUGAGAAGCCUGCUGCCCCGGGGGUCAUGCCGCUUCCUGAGGGAGGAGAAACAGGUCAGAGGUCAAAGGUCAGAAAUGUAAGGACAAUAUAGUGACGACGACAACAGAAAGAAGCUUGGUGUCAACUCACCAAUACUGGGGGACCAGGCACCGUGGGCUGGUGUUGCUCCAGUGUUCCAUGGGGUCAUAGCGGGGGAUCUUCCACUCAGGGGACUCGGCGCCAUGCCAAAAAACAUGCCCGUGGCUAGAAACAAAAACGACAAAUCAGGAAUAUCAAGAACAAAAAGGGCACCACAGCGGGCUAAAAUGUCUCCGCUUACGUCCGGCCACGCUGAUGCCAGGAAUGUUUGUGGGGAUCUCCAUGCCGUAUUUGCACUUCUCAGCAUCUAACAGCAGGUCAAAGCAGCCCGUUCCAGCAGGAGCGAGUUGGCCGAGCAUGAUGUUCUCAGACACGCCCUUCAUCGGAUCACUUUCUCCAUGAGAUGAAGCCUCCAUCAACACAUCCACCUGGAGACAGAAAGACAAAAAUGUAGAAGUGACAAUACUUCAACCAUCUUUGAAGAAUGUCUGUAAAGAAGCACCAAUAUUACCGUCUCCUCAAAGGAACACUUCAUGAGCGGCCCUGUGUCUUGACGGUUGAUGCCGUGACGUGUGAUGGCCAUCAGGUGACCGCGGCACGUCAUGGUGUCACAAAGCAGCGCCAAGUGACGGUAGUUGACGUAUGAGCCAUCAAAUGAGAUGACAUGAUACAAUUCCCUUUCCAGAGCUUUUCGCACAGCCUCAAUACCAAGCACCUGCAGUAGACAAGGACAUGUUCAAGAUUUUUUGUCUGAAAAUCACAUCUCUGCCAUUGAAGCUUCCAGAAUUACUUUCAUACCGUGAAGAUCUCCACAAUGUCAUUGGACGUUGUCCUGACAGGAUCGACGUCUUUUUCACUGAGAACCCUCAUAAGGCUUACACCAUCAGUCUCAAGGAUCCACUCCUGCAGGGCCUUGAACUCUCCGUCCUCUGUGAUUAUGAUCUUCUUCUUAUUGUCCGUCUGGGGCAGGUGCAUAUACACCUGGGAAAGCAAAGAUUGACCUCAGGCAAGCUCAUUUUAUGUAGUUACAAGCGACAUGUUGUCGGAUGUCCGUCAUUACCUUGCUGAUUUGCUCGAUGCCUUGAAGUGUCAUGUCUGUCAGCAUGUUUGACUCAAUGCAUCUUAGGAAAACGUCGUCAUCCAUUUCAUCCACCACCUCCUCAUCCUAGCCACCAAAGUUACACACAAUUAUGAUGGCUUCACUUAUUUACAUGUUACAAUUUGAGAGACGAUUGCUCACAUCUUGGAACUUGUUCUCAUCGCUGUUCAUGAUUCGGAUUCGCAGAACGAGUUUCUCAGCGUUGUCAUCAUUAAAGAUGCAGUUGAGGUCAUCUCCAAAACCUUUUUUUGACAUUUUGGAUUUUGAAUGGGCAUUAAUUCCGAGAAAAAGAAGUGGGUCACUAAAGUACUUGACAACUGAAUGCGCACACACCUGCAUUGAUUUUCUCUGCAAUCUGUUCCAUUGUCAACUUGCGAUCAGUCAUAUGCUUGCGGUCCAGCUCAAUACGCAGCAGCCACGGGGAAAUGCGAGUCACGUCAAAAUCUGGCAUCUCGUAGUAGACAUUCACCCACUCCUGGUCCUCGGCGACCACAGUGUUUUGGGGGUUCGGAUCAUAGUAGAUGGCAGUGUUGGCCGUCACCUAAAAAACACAAAAAGGAGAUUUUUUUUAUUGAUUGAUCCAAGGCAAACGAUUGAAAAUAAUGGAGGUAAUCAUAAGAGCUGCUGUCACCUUUCUCAGUGUAGUGUGCUCCAGUCGACAGAGGAUGUCUUUGGCUCUUUCUGCAUCCCGGGCGGCCUGGCCCAGCAGGAAAACGGUAAGCGAGGGUGUUUUGGGCUUCUUGGAAAUGUUGAUCAACUCCUUCAGACGUGGUACACCAAGUGUGACGUUCUUGGCUGACACACCGGCGUAAUGGAAAGUGUUUAAGGUCAUCUGUGUGGCUGGUUCUCCAAGAGACUGAGCAGCCAAAGCACCAACCAUUUCUCCUGGGUGGGCCUGGUUGUAAAAAAGGUACCCAUAAUGAAUCCCUCACAGAGACCUAUCAAGAAGUAGGAUAGAGCCACUCACAAUAGAUUGGUUAAACUUGGUCUCAAUCUCUCCCAGCAACCAGUCAAAAGCCUCGGUGGUAAGACGGAACUCUUCCGUCAUACGCUUGGAGCAGAGUGUGGAGCGCAAAUGGAUGUUGAAGAGCAGAGUGGCGUUCGCUUGGGCUUGUCUGCUUAGCGGAUCAUCACCAUUCACAAUCACCAGCUUCUUACUCAGCUCGUGAACACCUGAGCCAGUCACCAUUAGAAGUUCAGCUGUUUGGUCAAUAUGGACCAUAAAGAUACACAAGCAGUGCAUAAACUAAACUAACCAUCAACAACUCGAAUUGGAUUGAGGUCAGUCGGGGUGCGCGUGUUGAUACGGAAGAUCUUCUGAGCGUUCCAGAUCAUUCUUGCCAAGUUGCACGGCAGCACCACCUGCAUUGGCGGAAGAGCAUUGUAGUGCAUGAGUAUGAGCUGUGAGGAGGGCGGCCAAGGACACUCUUGGGGAGGAUAGACACACCUUACUGUCACCGGUAGGGAAAAUGGUUCGGAGGCUCUCCCUGUCCUCCUUCAUCUUCUCAAACUCUCUCUCCAGAGUUCCUUGCACAAGAGCGUUGGUCAUCACGUCUUUCACCACGUCUUCCUGAAGCGUUCGUCUCAGUGCUCGCUCGUUGGUGCAGUCAAACCGGAACCUCCACA